rnacentral:rRNA from 1 species
AGAGUUUGAUCCUGGCUCAGAACGAACGCUGGCGGCGUGGAUAAGACAUGCAAGUCGAACGCUAAUUUGGCUGUAGCAAUACAGUCAAGUUGGAGUGGCGCAAGGGUGCGUAACACGUGGGUAAUUUGCCGUGAAGUUGGGGAUAACUCGCUGAAAGGCGAGCUAAUACCGAAUGUGAAAAUUGGGAGGCAUCUUCUGAUUUUUAAAGUUGGGGACCGUAAGGCCUGACGCUUCACGAUAAGCCCGCGGCCUAUCAGCUAGUUGGUGAGGUAACGGCUCACCAAGGCUAAGACGGGUAGCUGGUCUGAGAGGACGACCAGUCACACUGGAACUGAGACACGGUCCAGACACCUACGGGUGGCAGCAGUCGAGAAUUUUUCUCAAUGGGCGAAAGCCUGAAGGAGCGACGCCGCGUGGGGGAUGAAGGGCUUCGGCUCGUAAACCCCUGUCAUUUGCGAACAAACCUUACGAUUUAAUAGAUCGUGAGCUGAUUGUAGCGAAAGAGGAAGGGACGGCUAACUCUGUGCCAGCAGCCGCGGUAAUACAGAGGUCCCAAGCGUUGUUCGGAUUCACUGGGCGUAAAGGGUGCGUAGGUGGCAAGGUAAGUUUGAUGUGAAAUCUCCGGGCUUAACCCGGAAACUGCAUUGAAUACUAUCUCGCUCGAGAGUUGGAGGGGAGACUGGAAUACUUGGUGUAGCAGUGAAAUGCGUAGAUAUCAAGUGGAACACCAGUGGCGAAGGCGAGUCUCUGGACAACUUCUGACACUGAGGCACGAAAGCUAGGGGAGCAAACAGGAUUAGAUACCCUAGUAGUCC